rnacentral:tRNA from 1 species
ACGCCUGUAGCCCAACUGGUCAGAGGCCCCGCCUUAAAAGCGGCCAAGUGCGAGUUCGAAUCUCGUCGGGCGUA